rnacentral:rRNA from 1 species
UACGUAGGGGGCAAGCGUUGUCCGGAUUUAUUGGGCGUAAAGAGCGUGUAGGCGGCCAGGUAGGUCCGUUGUGAAAACUCGAGGCUCAACCUCGAGACGUCGGCGGAAACCCUCUGGCUAGAGUCCGGAAGAGGAGAGUGGAAUUCCUGGUGUAGCGGUGAAAUGCGCAGAUAUCAGGAAGAACACCCGUGGCGAAGGCGGCUCUCUGGGACGGUACUGACGCUGAGACGCGAAAAGCGUGGGGAGCAAACAGG